rfam:Manacus vitellinus contig46824, whole genome shotgun sequence.
CCAAAGGCUCUUUGAAGAGCCACUAAGUGCACAAUGAAAAGACCU